rnacentral:rRNA from 1 species
GACAGAGGGGGCAAGCGUUGCUCGGAAUUAUUGGGCGUAAAGCGCGCGCAGGCGGCUUCUUAAGUCUGAUGUGAAAUCUCGGGGCUCAACCCCGAGCGGCCAUUGGAAACUGGGGGAGCUUGAGUGCAGAAGAGGAGAGUGGAAUUCCACGUGUAGCGGUGAAAUGCGCAGAUAUCGGGAGGAACACCGGUGGCGAAGGCGGGUCUCUGGGCCGAUACUGGACGCUGAGGAGCGAAAGCGUGGGGAGCGAACAGG